GCACAACGUGCUCCGUCGGCGGCAACGGCGACUCCUUCUUGCCGAAUAGAGGAGCCGUUUGAUGUUCAGCAGGAACUCCUCAUCUGGUAAUUGAACUUGCUCCGGAAGCAUGGAGCAUCCUGAGAUCCCUGAUGUGGUAGUUAGCUUCUUGCAUGUUGCUUACACAUACAUGCAAGUAGCUGUCUCCAGUCUCCACUGCAUUUCACUAGCAGUAGUUUUCGCCUUGUGAGGUCUGAGCUUUCAAAUAUUCGAAUGCCUUAACUUUUCUAGCUAAUCCAAUAGCCUAGGAGUAUCACCAUGUUUACACAUUUAGAAGAUUUUUGCAGUUAGACGAUUCCGAGAGAGCAAAGAGUGAGUUGAGAGGGAUGGAGAGAGCACAGAAGGGAAGGAGAAAGGAAUAGGGAGGAGCGGCGGUGGUUGGUUCUCCGGCGGCACUGGAUCGGGCACGGGCGCAGAGCUCCUGCUCGGGGACGCGAAGAUCCUGGGAGGCACUCUCCCAUUCAGUUACCCUUACUAUCGGUUCCUAGGUGCAGCCCCGGCGGCCAUCGUCUGAACGGCGCGGACGCGUGCUUCUCCCCAGGGAGGGCCAUGCCGCUGCAGAUGAAACUGAAUCCCCUUCCGAGCCGGCGGACAUGACAUGGUUGGUUUCACGGGAUUGACUCGGCUACCUACAGAAGUGCCACCAAUCUGAACCAAGCUGUUGCGUCAAGGCAUGUAGGUUGAUUCAUAUGAUUCUUCAGCGGCAGCAAGUUUUUCAUGUACAUUCCUUCCUAUAAGCGACAGGCGCGACACGCACCUCCAACCAACGCUUUCCCCGGUGAUCCCCGGCCACGAGCAUGUCUAUCCCCUACAAGCCGCUACCGGUGCUCCCUCUCCGCUGGAUGCGGCAAGGUCGUGCGAGUGUUCUGUAGCUCGGCGCUGCACCAUGGGCACAGGAUCGUCGCCCUCAUGGCCACAGCCGCAAACUUUGUGUCUGGCCUGCUUAUCCUCACCACUUUCAGAAUCGGAGGCAGUGCAUGACUGCUGACCAGUGUCCGACUUUGAUCGUCGACGCUGAUGAUGGAUUCAAGCACUCCACCAUAUUCUUGGCUACAUCAUCAGGAUUCACACCUCGUCAGAUCCGAGACUGCUGUUUGGAAGGGAUCCAUUAGUCGUCGCCGCUGUUCAAGUUAGAUGUAACACAAUCUGUAAAGCUCCAUUAUAGCGAUUCAAAGACUCCAUCAUGGAGUAAUUUUUGCUGUAGCUUCUAGG